UUCCCCACAUAUGUCUUGCGUUUACAUCUGCCUUACACAUGUGGGAUUGAGAUAUAGACAGAGAUCACGAGAGAGGGAGGCGGAGCUGCCGGCGGAGCACGGCGGCGAUGGAUCUGUUCAUUGUGAUGACCAUUCUCCUUCCGAUCAUCAUCAGUCAACGCUACCAUGAUCAAUAACAAAGCCGCCGUACGUUGCCACCACCACCACCGUCAAAGGUUCAACUUCCACAGUGGCAACGACAAGAAGGUAUUUUGAGGGUUGGACACUGAUUUAUUGUACAUCAGGCUUUUGGUUUUGUAAACUUAUUGAAAGAGAUGAAGAUGCGAGAGGAAGAGAGAGUGUGGAAUCGACUUUGGUUUUCCGGUGUACAGGGUUUCGAUUAUGACUUACAGACUCACCUUCGCCGUCUCAAUUUUCAGAGACCAGUUAAUUACAGGUUAAGGAUGAAGUAGUAGGUUACAAGUGGUAAGCAGGGGCGCAAGUUUGAUUUUCAAAGGAUUUAACCACCAGAAGAUGCCUUUUAGUUCUGGUUAACAAAUGCAACAACAACAGCUUUGAAUCUUGUCUUCCAGGUUUAGUUGCUUUAUACUCAUCUGUUACACCAUGUUAUUCAUUAAAUAGUAAAACUACUGUUCAUAUAGAUUCAUAGAAGUUAUAAGGAAGUCAUAGCAAGGGGCGGAACCAUAGUAUCAUGAGCCGUAGCACGGGCUACGGCUCAACCCCGUAUUCGUAUUUUUUUCCAGUUUUAUAUAAAGGAUACCCCUAACAAAAUACGAGGAUACCAACCAAAAAAUAGGAUACUUGAUAUUUACUAAAAUCCGAUUUUUUAUAAGCCCAAACAUUUUUCAAUUUCAACCCGAAAAUUUGUAGAAUAGUUAUGCCCGAAUGAUAAAAAAGCCCAAAUUAACAAUAAUAAAAUUGAAAUGAGACCCUAAAUAUAAUUAAUAAAGUUUGUGUUAUUGGUUCAGAUUAAAAAAAAAAAUUGUGACAUCAAAAUUCUUAGGAAGCAGUGGUAAUGGCAGUUGAAUGCUUGGAUUCCUCGGAGGAAACGGAACCGGUAGUAAAACAAACGGUGGUGCAAGUAAGAGUGGCCAUGUGGGAGGGUGAAGUGAUGGUAGCAGUUCGACCGUUGGUUCGAAUACUUCAGAUGGUAAAGGCACUUAUUUGAUAUUCAAUGUAGGAGAUACUUUGUAUAUUAAAGAACUCAAUUCCGAAGAAAAGGUAAUUGCGAUACUUUCAAGUUUUGAAAUUCGAAUGCUAAUUAAUUAUUGAUUAGAUUUUGACC